rnacentral:rRNA from 1 species
AUUGAACGCUGGCGGCAGGCCUAACACAUGCAAGUCGAACGCAGUUGCGAACGGGUGAGUAACGCGUAGGUAACUGCCUCAUAGCGGGGGAUAACUAUUGGAAACGAUAGCUAAUACCGCAUACUGUGAGAUGGACCUGCGUUGUAUUAGCUAGUUGGUGAGGUAAAGGCCCACCAAGGCGACGGUACAUAGCCGACCUGAGAGGGUGGUCGGCCACACUUGGACUGGGACACCGCCCAGACUCCUACGGGAGGCAGCCGUAGGGAAUCUUCGGCAAUGGACGGAAGUCUGACCGAGCCACGCCGCGGGAGUGAAGAAGGGUUUCGGAUUGUAAAGGUCCGUUGUUAGAGAAGCGGUACCUAACCAGAAAGCGACGGCUAACUACGUGCCAGCAGCCGCGGUAAUAC